rnacentral:rRNA from 1 species
UGAUUAUGUGGAGCGUGAGGAGCUAAACACCUUCAUGCCUGCGUAUUCGUGUUCUUUGGGUGUACUUGCCCGCAUGGUAGGUUAACAUCAAUUUCGGGCGUCAUAAAAUGGUUGGAGGAAUGUAGCUUCGACCUCGGUUGAAGUGUUAUAGCCCCCGGCAGAUGUGAUGACCGGGAUUGAGGAUUGCAACGGAUACCCUUCGGGGCUACCCGUCUGAUCUCUGAUGGUUGCUCUGGUGCCGAAAGCUUGCUUACGGUUAUCAAAGUUGACGGUCAACAGGUUAGAACGGGUUAAAUUCGUUAAGGAUGUUGACGUA